AGCAGCCGCGGUAAUUCCAGCUCCAAUAGCGUAUAUUAAAGUUGUUGCAGUUAAAAAGCUCGUAGUUGAAUUUCGGGAUUAAUAUGUUGGUCGUGCCUUGGUACGUACUGGCAUUAUUGAUUCCUACCUUCUGAAGAACCUCGAUGUCAUUAAUUUGGUGUCUUGGGGAAUCAGGACCGUUACUUUGAAAAAUUAGAGUGUUUAAAGCAGGCUCGCGCUUGAAUACAUUAGCAUGGAAUAAUGAAAUAGGACGUUUGAUUCUAUUUUGUUGGUUUCUAGGAUCGACGUAAUGAUUAAUAGGGAUAGUUGGGGGCAUUAGUAUUCAAUUGUCAGAGGUGAAAUUCUUGGAUUUAUUGAAGACUGACUACUGCGAAAGCAUUUGCCAAGGAUGUUUUCAUUAAUCAAGAACGAAAGUUAGGGGAUCGAAGACGAUCAGGUACCGUCGUAGUCUUAACCAUAAACUAUGCCGACUAGGGAUCGGAUGAUGUUAAUUUUUUAAUGUACUCAUUCGGCGCCUUAA
rnacentral:misc_RNA from 1 species